GUUUAAGUAUGGGCCAUAUUAAGGUGAAACCGCAAAUGACUCAUUAAAUCAGUUAUGGUUCUUUGGAUCGUACCUAACUACUGGAACAACUGUGACUAUUUUAGAGCUAAUACAUGCAGCAGAGCUGCAACCCUCUGGGGACGAGUGCUUUUGUUAGACCAACACCAAUCAGGGUUCAUGUCUGUAAUAUGUGGUAACUCUGAGAUGAUUACAAGGGCUCGUCCCAGUGCUACUGGUAGGAUCAACUAAUUAGUUUUUUAUGUUCACAGAG
rnacentral:ncRNA from 1 species